rnacentral:rRNA from 1 species
UACGGAGGGGGCUAGCGUUGUUCGGAAUUACUGGGCGUAAAGGGCUCGUAGGCGGCCAACUAAGUCAGACGUGAAAUCCCUCAGCUUAACUGGGGAACUGCGUCUGAUACUGGAUGGCUUGGAUUCGGGAGAGGAAUGCGGAAUUCCAGGUGUAGCGGUGAAAUGCGUAGAUAUCUGGAGGAACACCGGUGGCGAAGGCGACAUCCUGGACCGGUAUUGACGCUGAGGCGCGAAAGCCAGGGGAGCAAAGCGGG